rnacentral:rRNA from 1 species
UACAUGUGGGGCAAGCGUUGUUCGGAAUUACUGGGCAUAAAGGGUGCGUAGGCGGUUUGUUAAGUCAGGGGUGAAAGUUUUCGGCCCAACCGGAAAAUUGCCUUUGAUACUGGCGAACUUGAGUGCGUGAGGGGUAACCGGAACGAGUGGUGUAGCGGUGAAAUGCGUAGAUAUCACUCGGAAGGCCAAAGGCGAAGGCAGGUUACUGGUACGCAACUGACGCUGAGGCACGAAAGCGUGGGGAGCAAACAGG